rnacentral:rRNA from 1 species
ACGCUGGCGGCAUGCCUUACACAUGCAAGUCGAACGGCAGCACGGAGCUUGCUCUGGUGGCGAGUGGCGAACGGGUGAGUAAUAUAUCGGAACGUACCCUAGAGUGGGGGAUAACGUAGCGAAAGUUACGCUAAUACCGCAUACGAUCUAAGGAUGAAAGUGGGGGAUCGCAAGACCUCAUGCUCGUGGAGCGGCCGAUAUCUGAUUAGCUAGUUGGUAGGGUAAAAGCCUACCAAGGCAUCGAUCAGUAGCUGGUCUGAGAGGACGACCAGCCACACUGGAACUGAGACACGGUCCAGACUCCUACGGGAGGCAGCAGUGGGGAAUUUUGGACAAUGGGCGAAAGCCUGAUCCAGCAAUGCCGCGUGAGUGAGGAAGGCCUUCGGGUUGUAAAGCUCUUUUGUCAGGGAAGAAACGGUGAGAGCUAAUAUCUCUUGCUAAUGACGGUACCUGAAGAAUAAGCACCGGCUAACUACGUGCCAGCAGCCGCGGUAAUACGUAGGGUGCAAGCGUUAAUCGGAAUUACUGGGCGUAAAGCGUGCGCAGGCGGUUUUGUAAGUCUGAUGUGAAAUCCCCGGGCUCAACCUGGGAAUUGCAUUGGAGACUGCAAGGCUAGAAUCUGGCAGAGGGGGGUAGAAUUCCACGUGUAGCAGUGAAAUGCGUAGAUAUGUGGAGGAACACCGAUGGCGAAGGCAGCCCCCUGGGUCAAGAUUGACGCUCAUGCACGAAAGCGUGGGGAGCAAAC